AUUAUUGGGCGUAAAGGGCUCGCAGGCGGUUUCUUAAGUCUGAUGUGAAAGCCCCCGGCUCAACCGGGGAGGGUCAUUGGAAACUGGGGAACUUGAGUGCAGAAGAGGAGAGUGGAAUUCCACGUGUAGCGGUGAAAUGCGUAGAGAUGUGGAGGAACACCAGUGGCGAAGGCGACUCUCUGGUCUGUAACUGACGCUGAGGAGCGAAAGCGUGGGGAGCGAACAGGAUUAGAUACCCUGGUAGUCCACGCCGUAAACGAUGAGUGCUAAGUGUUAGGGGGUUUCCGCCCCUUAGUGCUGCAGCUAACGCAUUAAGCACUCCGCCUGGGGAGUACGGUCGCAAGACUGAAACUCAAAGGAAUUGACGGGGGCCCGCACAAGCGGUGGAGCAUGUGGUUUAAUUCGAAGCAACGCGAAGAACCUUACCAGGUCUUGACAUCCUCUGACAAUCCUAGAGAUAGGACGUCCCCUUCGGGGGCAGAGUGACAGGUGGUGCAUGGUUGUCGUCAGCUCGUGUCGUGAGAUGUUGGGUUAAGUCCCGCAACGAGCGCAACCCUUGAUCUUAGUUGCCAGCAUUCAGUUGGGCACUCUAAGGUGACUGCCGGUGACAAACCGGAGGAAGGUGGGGAUGACGUCAAAUCAUCAUGCCCCUUAUGACCUGGGCUACACACGUGCUACAAUGGACAGAACAAAGGGCAGCGAAACCGCGAGGUUAAGCCAAUCCCACAAAUCUGUUCUCAGUUCGGAUCGCAGUCUGCAACUCGACUGCGUGAAGCUGGAAUCGCUAGUAAUCGCGGAUC
rnacentral:rRNA from 1 species